rnacentral:rRNA from 1 species
GGAAUACGACUUCACCUCCAACCCGUGUGAUAUACCUUAAUGUUGCCUCGGGGGGGAAGUCAGCCCGCGCCCCGUAUAACGGGACCGGCCCGCCAGAGGACCCAAACUCUAAUUUUCUGAAAUUGCCUUCUGAGUAAAACAAACAAAUUAUUUAAAACUUUCAACAACGGGAUCUCUUGGUUCUGGCAUCGAUGAAGAACGCAGCAAAAUGCGAUAAGUAAUGUGAAUUGCAGAAUUCAGUGAAUCAUCGAAUCUUUGAACGCACAUUGCGCCCGCUGGUAUUCCGGCGGGCAUGCCUGUUCGAGCGUCAUUUCAACCCUCAAGCCCCCGGGUUUGGUGUUGGGGAUCGGCUCUGCCUUCUGGAACGGUGCCGCCCCCGAAAUACAUUGGCGGCGUCUCGGCUGCAGCCUCCAUUGGGCGUAGUUUCUAACAUUUCGCAACAGGAACGCGGCGCGGCCAUGCCGAAAAACCCCAAACUUUCUGAAUGUUGACCUCGGAUCAGGUAGGAAUACCCGCUGAACUUAAGCAUAUCAAUAAGCGGAGGA